ensembl:lncRNA novel transcript
AUCAAAAGCUUGAGCACAAACAGAUACCUCAGCCCGGAGUUUCUGUUCCUGUUCUUGAAGAGACAGACUGGUGAGCAUGCAAAAUUACAGGAAAUGCAGAGAACAAAAUGGGCAGAGCAACCAAAACUGUGGUGUUUGCAUCAAAUACAGGUCAAGAGUAAACUUAUUUUCCUAUGAAAUUCAAGAACAUGUUGAAACUGGAAAGAGCGGGACAGGCUGGUAGCACCUUUUAAAGACCAAGAGAGGCCGCCUCAUUAAAUAUUAAGAACUUGGAGGAAAGAGGUGGAUUUACACUGAUAAAAGGUUCAUUUAAAAUUCCAUGAGGUCAAUAAAUUACCACUUA